AACUUAAAGGAAUUGACGGGGGCCCGCACAAGCGGAGGAACAUGUGGUUUAAUUCGAUGAUACGCGAGGAACCUUACCUGGGGCUAGAACGCAUUCGGAAUCAGGCCGAAAGGUCUGCGCCAGCGAUGGCCGGUUGCGAGGUGCUGCAUGGUUGUCGUCAGCUCGUGCCGUGAGGUGUCGGGUUAAGUCCCAUAACGAGCGCAACCCUUGUCCUUAGUUACCAGCACGUUAUGGUGGGCACUCUAAGGAGACUGCCGGUGACAAACCGGAGGAAGGUGGGGAUGACGUCAAGUCAUCAUGGCCCUUACGGCCUGGGCUACACACGUGCUACAAUGGUCGGUACAAAGGGUUGCCAAGCCGCGAGGUGGAGCUAAUCCCAUAAAACCGAUCGUAGUCCGGAUCGCAGUCUGCAACUCGACUGCGUGAAGUCGGAAUCGCUAGUAAUCGUGAAUCAGAAUGUCACGGUGAAUACGUUCCCGGGCCUU
rnacentral:rRNA from 1 species